GGCGACUGGCUGGAGGAAAGAUGGAAGACUUCCAGGCUGCAGAGGAGACUGCUUUUGUUGUUGAUGAUGAAGUGAGCAACAUUGUAAAGGAGGCUAUAGAAGGUGCCAUCAGUGGUAAUGCUUACCAGCACAGCAAAGUCAAUCAGUGGACCACAAAUGUUGUAGAACAGACUUUAAGCGAACUCACCAAGCUAGGAAAACCAUUCAAAUACAUUAUGACCUGUGUAAUCAUGCAGAAGAAUGGAGCUGGGUUACACACAGCAAGCUCCUGCUUCUGGGACAGCUCUACCGGUGGAGGCUGCACCAUGCGAUGGGAGAACAAGACCAUGUACUGCAUUGCCAGUGCCUUCGGACUGUCCAUCUGA